GAUGAACGCUGGCGGCGUGCUUAACACAUGCAAGUCGAACGAUGAAGCCCAGCUUGCUGGGUGGAUUAGUGGCGAACGGGUGAGUAACAAGUGAGUAACCUGCCCUUAACUCUGGGAUAAGCCUGGGAAACUGGGUCUAAUACCGGAUAGGAGCGUCCACCGAAUGGUGGGUGUUGGAAAGAUUUAUCGGUUUUGGAUGGACUCGCGGCCUAUCAGCUUGUUGGUGAGGUAAUGGCUCACCAAGGCGACGACGGGUAGCCGGCCUGAGAGGGUGACCGGCCACACUGGGACUGAGACACGGCCCAGACUCCUACGUGAGGCAGCAGUGGGGAAUAUUGCACAAUGGGCGCAAGCCUGAUGCAGCGACGCCGCGUGAGGGAUGACGGCCUUCGGGUUGUAAACCUCUUUCAGUAGGGAAGAAGCGAAAGUGACGGUACCUGCAGAAGAAGCACCGGCUAACUACGUG
rnacentral:rRNA from 1 species